rnacentral:sRNA from 1 species
GAUGUUGGCCCUGAAGAACAAUGACAUGCGCAAAAUUCCAGGCUAUGACCCCGAGCCCGUGGAGAAGCUGAGGAAACUGCAGAGAGCUUUGGUCCGCAACGCCAGCUCAGGUUCUGAGACUCAGCUUCGCGUCUCCUGGGACAGCGUCUUGAAUGCGGAGCAGACAGGUCGCUGGUGGAUUGUGGGGUCCGCCUGGAGUGGGGCCCCGAUGAUCGACAACAGUCACCACACGCACCUGCAGAAGCAGCUUGCGGGGACGGUAGGGACACCCAUGCUCAAGGCUGCCAGGCAGAGGCACCCCCCUGUGUGGUGUGUGGUCCCGGCUUUACCUGGAGCAGCUCUCUUACUGUUCUUGAAUGGUCACUGAAAUGUACAAGGUUUAUUUGGAGGCCUUACAGAAAUUGCUAUUAAUAUUACAUUGUGAUAUAAUUAUUCCAUUUCUGUUGUAUCUUUUUAUUGGACUUUAAAAGAUCUAAAAGUUGAAUGGCACGGGGCAGGGCAGUGCAUGAGGACCUGAACGCUCACGGGGCAGGAGUCUGUUGCUGAGACCCCUCAGGCU